GAUGAACGCUGGCGGCGUGCCUAAUACAUGCAAGUCGAGCGAACAGACGAGGAGCUUGCUCCUCUGCCGUUAGCGGCGGACGGGUGAGUAACACGUGGAUAACCUACCUAUUAGACUGGGAUAACUUCGUGAAAACGGAGCUAAUACCGGAUAAUAUAUUGAACCGCAUGGUUCAAUAGUGAAAGACGGUUUUGCUGUCACUUAUAGAUGGAUCCGCGCCGCAUUAGCUAGUUGGUAAGGUAACGGCUUACCAAGGCAACGAUGCGUAGCCGACCUGAGAGGGUGAUCGGCCACACUGGAACUGAGACACGGUCCAGACUCCUACGGGAGGCAGCAGUAGGGAAUCUUCCGCAAUGGGCGAAAGCCUGACGGAGCAACGCCGCGUGAGUGAUGAAGGUCUUCGGAUCGUAAAACUCUGUUAUUAGGGAAGAACAAAUGUGUAAGUAACUAUGCACGUCUUGACGGUACCUAAUCAGAAAGCCACGGCUAACUACGUG
rnacentral:rRNA from 1 species